rnacentral:rRNA from 1 species
GUACACGCUGUGACUAGCAUAUCAAUAAGCGGAGGAAAAGAAACUAACUAGGAUUCCCUCAGUAACGGCGAGUGAGGCGGGAAGAGCUCAAAUUUGAAAUCUUCAAGGUUCUACCUUGACGAAUUGUAGUUUAAAGAAGUGUUUUCUGUUGGAGUUUUGGUAAAAGCUCUUUGGAAUAGGACAUCAUAGAGGGUGAGAAUCCCGUAUUUGACCAUUAUUUCCAGCUUUGUGAUACACUUUCAAAGAGUCGGAUUGUUUGGGGAUGCAGUCCAAAAUGGGUGGUAAAUUUCAUCUAAAGCUAAAUAUUGGCGAGAGACCGAUAGCGAACAAGUACCGUGAGGGAGAGAUGAAAAGAACUUUGAAAAGAGAGUUAAACAGUACGUGAAAUUGUCAAAAGGGAAGCGUUUGACACCAGUGUUGUUUUCUCGAAAAUCAAUUAAAAAAGGCAGGAUUUUGUGCUGUAUUGACUUUAUCAGCUUUCUGCACUCUUUUCUUGUCUUUUUUAAUGCACUUUUCGUUUAACAAGUCAACAUCAAUUUCUUUUGUUGUAAAAGGGUCAUUGGAAGGUGGCUUUCUUUUCGGAGAAAGUGUUUAUAGCCUUUGGCCUCUGCAAUCGGAGAGACUGAGGUCUGCAGCGUAGAUCCUUCGGGGUUAGGAUACAUUUGUGCUAAGUUAUAGCCUUUCAUAGACAACUUGUUGACUAUGAUCAGUCACGUAGCUUACUCGCUUAUGCUAUUUUACCUACGCUUAGGAUGUUAAAGACUCUACAGAGAUA